AUCGAGACUAAGAGUCACAUCUAGAUGCCAUCAGUCAUCAUGGUGUGCUAUAGUCCUCGAAGAAUAAUAACUUACCUUUAUUCACUGACUCUGUGAUUCAUUAGCAGAGCCAGCUGCCAGGUUGGUAACAGAU
rnacentral:snoRNA from 1 species